rnacentral:rRNA from 1 species
GACGAACGCUGGCGGCGUGCCUAAUACAUGCAAGUAGGACGCAGUUGCGAACGGGUGAGUAACGCGUAGGCAACUGGCGAUUAGAGGGGGGUAACCAUUGGAAACGAUAGCUAAUACCGCAUACUAGUAGAUGGACCUGCGUUGUAUUAGCUAGUAGGUAGGGUAAUGGCCUACCAAGGCGACGAUACAUAGCCGGGCUGAGAGGAUGAACGGCCAAACUGGGACUGAGACACGGCCCAGACUCCUACGGGAGGCAGCAGUAGGGAAUCUUCCGCAAUGGGGGGAAGUCUGACCGAGCAACGCCGCGUGAGUGAAGAAGGCUUUCGGGUCGUAAAGCUCUGUUGAUCAGGAAGCGGUACCUGAACAGAAAGCCACGGCUAACUACGUGCCAGCAGCCGCGGUAAUAC